rnacentral:rRNA from 1 species
UGAGUAACCUGCCCUUCACUCUGGGAUAACUCCGGGAAACCGGGGCUAAUACUGGAUAUGACUCGAACAGGCAUCUGUUUCGGGUGGAAAGAUUUAUUGGUGGAGGAUGGACUCGCGGCCUAUCAGCUUGUUGGUGAGGUAAUGGCUCACCAAGGCGACGACGGGUAGCCGGCCUGAGAGGGCGAUCGGCCACACUGGGACUGAGACACGGCCCAGACCUCCGUACGGGGAGCA